CUUUCCUCAUCUAAGUUAUAUGUGUCUCAUGGAGUUGUGGUAAGAAUAAAAGGCAUUAGUGUAAAAAUGCUUGGUAAACUGUUGAAAGUCUCUGAAGGAUGGGGGGUUGCUUUUCUAUUGGCCCUGCCUCUCCAGCCUUUGAAGCAAUCUAGCCAUCCCGGAACCUUUCUGAAUCCUGGCCCUCCCAGAGGGUCAGGCUCUCUCUGCACUGCGGUUGGGACUGCAGCUGAUUGGGUAAGAGGGUGGAUCGGGCAAAAGUUAGAUCCCAGAGCUUCCCCAAGAACCCCACACCCUCCCCUCAGGCCACCUUGAGUGUCCAGGCGAAGAAGAAGGCCACUGUAGUUGUUUCCUUCCAGGAGCCGCGAGACAAUCCAGGGCAAGGAGCCCUCCACUUCCUCACCAAUAACCUUACCAGCCAAUACCUGCAGCAGGGGGCAAUCUCUGCCCAAGGGAGGGAGGAAGAAAAGAGAUGUCCUCUGAUGGAUAGGGAAAGAAACUGGCCCAAAUCACAUUCUGAUGGAAAGAUUGACUAUUUCCAGUAACUUCUGUGCACCACCAGGCAGAUUUGCAACCUUGAAUAGAUCUUUAUUUUAUUAUUUUUAAAAUUACACAAUAUAUUCUCAUAGUUCAAAAUUUAUUUUGUCUAUUGGAUAAGGGAAUUGCAUCCAGAAUAUUUAAAGAACUCUUACCACUCAGUAAUAAAAGACUAAUCACCCAAUUAAAAAUGGCAAAGCAAGGUGACAUCCACAAAAAUGGCAGAGUGGGGAACUCUGGGAGUCUGUCCUUUGUCAGAAAGGUCUGGCAAAAAUGGUCAGAGUCAACCUUCCUAGAAUUCGGGAGGACAAUCCAUGUCCCAGGCUUAGAGCAACCAAGUGAUUGCUUCACUGGGAGAAAGCCAACCUAAAUAUGUUGAGCUCUCCGUGGUGUUAUCACUUAACCCACCCCCAACCUCCUCCCCAGCACAGAGUUGGUCUUGAAGACAACAGUUUGCAUUUCUGGUGGGGGUACUUGGCUCUGGAGAGAGCUGAGUAGAUCUUGUUCCCAAGGAAUUGUGUUUGUUGUUUUGGCUAUUUAGGUUUUCCCCAAAAGGGCUUUGUAUCACUUACCUUCUAAUGCUCUCAGAGCAGAACAGCUAUGCUAGAGGACAGUACCUCAAAACAUUGAAAGAUGAAAGAAUGAGCAAAAAUAACAGUUGGAGCAAAGAACAGAUGCAUGGAAAGACUGGGAGGAAAGAAAAGUUGAGGAGUGAGAUUUUGGGGGAAUAAGGAAAAUUCCCACACACAUUAGGGAACCUAGAAAGCCACACACAUUCUGGGGCUGCCCUGGGUCUCUGCAUCCAUAUUUCAGCCUCCCCACAAACCGCCACUCCCCAAAGUAGUCAGAAGACUCCAUGAGACUUACAGGGCUCUGGGGAGCUGCAGGAUCCUCAAGGCCCCUCGCCACAUGCCCUGGAUCCCAGGCCCCUCAGGAGGAUCAGGCCCCGGGCAGGAAAUGGUGACAGUGAGCAGAGAACAGUCCCUGUGGAGGAGAGGGUAGGAUCAAGCCAAACACCUAAGGGACGGGGGUGGGAGGUGACAGGUGCCCUCUGUCCUCACCUGCCUUCAUCGCCCGCAGCCUGCAAGUACAGCCCCGAGGCCACUCUUGAGUCAGACACCUCCACCUCACUGGCAUUUUCCACUACCCUGGAGGAAGGGAGGCUGAGCUCAAUUCCCAACCACCAGGGUCCUGUCCAGCCCCCAGAACCUCUGUGUGGGAAGCUAGAUGGGAUCCCAAGAGCCUGUGAGAAUCAUCCCUAAGGUUCCAAGCUCAGUAUAUCCCCUAAAAGUCUCUCAUCUGUACAAUCUCCUUUUUCCUCCUGUUAUCUGACCAGUGAGGGAAACAGGCUAGUUGGAAUUUCUCCAUUUUGCAGAUGGAGAAACUGAAGUUCUGCUCAGUGAGAUGCUCAACUGUCCAAGGAUGAUAAGGACUGAGGUGAAGAGGCAUAGAAGGAUAGGCUGUAGAGAGAAUAAUAUGAUGAUCCUCCAAGCACUCAGCUUCAGCAAUUAUCAACCAAUGGUCAGUAUUAUCUCUUCUGGUCCCCUCCCCAUCCCCUAUGGAUUUUUUUUUGAAGCAAAUCCCAGACAUUUUAUGUGUCAUCUAUAGCUACUUCAGCUCAUAUUUACAGAAGAUAACCACCCUU